rnacentral:rRNA from 1 species
GCAUGCUAUACAUGCAAGUCGAGCGAACAGACGAGGAGCUUGCUCCUCUGACGUUAGCGGCGGACGGGUGAGUAACACGUGGAUAACCUACCUAUAAGACUGGGAUAACUUCGGGAAACCGGAGCUAAUACCGGAUAAUAUAUUGAACCGCAGGGUUCAAUAGUGAAAGACGGUUUUGCUGUCACUUAUAGAUGGAUCCGCGCCGCAAUAGCUAGUUGGUAAGGUAACGGCUUACCAGGGCCACGAUGCGUAGCCCACCUGAGAGGGUGAUCGGCCACACUGGAACUGAGACACGGUCCAGACUCCUACGGGAGGCAGCAGUAGGGAAUCUUCCGCAGUGGGCGAAAGCCUGACAGAGCAACGCCGCGUGAGUGAUGAAGGUCUUCGGAUCGUAAAACUCUGUUAUUAGGGAAGAACAAAUGUGUAAGUAACUAUGCACGUCUUGACGGUACCUAAUCAGAAGGCCACGGCUAACUACGUGCCAGCAGCCGCGGUAAUACGUAGGUGGCAAGCGUUAUCCGGAAUUAUUGGGCGUAAAGCGCGCGUAGGCGGUUUUUUAAGUCUGAUGUGAAAGCCCACGGCUCACCCGUGGAGGGUCAUUGGAAACUGGAAAACUUGAGUGCAGAAGAGGAAAGUGGAAUUCCAUGUGUAGCGGUGAAAUGCGCAGAGAUAUGGAGGAACACCAGUGGCGAAGGCAACUUUCUGGUCUGUAACUGACGCUAAUGUGCGAAAGCGUGGGGAUCACACAGGAUUAGAUACCCUGGUAGUCCACGCCAUACACAAUGAGUGCUAAGUGUUAGGGGGUUUCCGCCCCUUAGUGCUGCAGCUAACGCAAUAAGCACUCCGCCGGGGGAGUACGACCGCAGGGUUGAAACUCAGAGGAAUUGACGGGGACCCGCACAAGCGGUGGAACAUGUGGUUUAAUUCGAAGCAACGCGGAGAAACUUACCAAAUCUUGACAUCCUCUGACCCCUCUCGAGAUAGAGUUUUCCCCUUCGGGGGACAAAGAGACAGGGGUGCAAGGUUUUCUCCCCUCGCGUCCGGGAAAUUUUGGUUAAUCCCCCACCAGGGCACCCCUUAACUUAUUUCCCCCCAAA